AGAUAUUUAUUCAUUUUUGAAAGAUAUUGGUAAAAUAUAUUAAUAGUCCAUAUAAUAAGAAAUUCAAGAGGAUGGAUGAGUGAUUUAAUUAUUAAAAGUGGUUAAUUACAGAAUUACAGUUAAAAUCUGGAGAAUCUGGGGAAAGUAUAUAGGAGUUGUAGAAGUUAAUUAAGGUGCCAGACUAUGAUAGUCAUGAGCCGAGGGCCAUCGCUUUGAUAGUUGUGA
rnacentral:lncRNA from 1 species